rnacentral:misc_RNA from 1 species
AGGUGAACCUGCGGAAGGAUCAUUAACGAUUUCGGUGUAAAAAACCGUUUUCUACCUAUGUCUACGCGUACCACUUGUUUCCUCGGGGGGCUUGCCCCCCGCUAGGACCCUUUAUCAAACCUUUUUGUAAUAGCAGUCAGCGUCUGAUACUAAGUUAAUUAUUAAAACUUUCAACAAUGGAUCUCUUGGUUCUGG